rnacentral:rRNA from 1 species
CAGCCGCCGCGGUAAUACGGAGGAUGCGAGCGUUAUCCGGAUUUAUUGGGUUUAAAGGGAGCGCAGACGGGUUUUUAAGUCAGCUGUGAAAGUUUGGGGCUCAACCUUAAAAUUGCAGUUGAUACUGGAGACCUUGAGUGCAGUUGAGGCAGGCGGAAUUCGUGGUGUAGCGGUGAAAUGCUUAGAUAUCACGAAGAACUCCGAUUGCGAAGGCAGCUUGCUAAAGUGUAACUGACGUUCAUGCUCGAAAGUGUGGGUAUCAAACAGGAUUAGAUACCCUGGUAGUCCACACGGUAAACGAUGGAUACUCGCUGUUGGCGAUAUACGGUCAGCGGCUUAGCGAAAGCGUUAAGUAUCCCACCUGGGGAGUACGCCGGCAACGGUGAAACUUAAAGGAAUUGGCGGG